rnacentral:lncRNA from 1 species
AUAAAAAGCAAGGGGAGAAAAUGGGAAGAACCAGACUAAGAAACCUCUUGGGAUGAGUUAAACAUGGGAAAAUUGCUCACUGGUUACUAUCACAGACAGAACAAACUCAAACUUAACUAUCUUAAGGCUGUUUUAUUCCUUUGCUCCAAACUACCAGCUUCCCACACCAAGUGGUGCAGCAGCAGCGUACUGUGUACAAGGAGCUAGGAGGGGAUGUAACCAGGACAGCUGGCCCAAACUGGUCAAAGAGAUAUCCAAUACCGCACGGCAUUGUGUUCAGCAAUAAAAGCUGGGACAAGGAAAGAGGAAGGGAUGAACUGUUGGAGUUGAUGGCAUUUGUCUUCACAGCAGUGCUAUGGACAGUGGGAUUGAGUGCACCCUCAGCAAGUUUGUGAAUGACACCAAGCUGUGUGGUGUUGUCAACAUGCCUGAGGGACAGAAUGCCAUCCAGAGAGAUCCAGACAGGCUUGAGCGGUGGGCCCAAGUAAGCCUCAUGAGAUUCAACAAAUCCGAAUGCAAGGUCUUGCACCUGGAUUGUGGCGACAUCCACUACCGUACAAGGAGCUGGGACCAUCCCUUAAAGCUUAUAGGAAGAUGGAGCUAUUCUUCCUGCUGGGAUUAUUCUCAAGAUGAGCCCUCUAGAACUCAUCACAGCAGGAUUUGAUGAACAAUGUGGUAAAAGCAACUGUAAAAUCUAAGGCUUUUAGUCAAGUAGUUUUUGGUGUUGGUAGACCUGAAGUACUUAGCCUUCAAUCUUCAGGCUGGCCUUGUGCUUGUGAAAUUACUCAAAACAUAAUUUGUCUUAACUUUUAGGAAAAAGACUUGUUCUUACCUAAUCCUUAUUAGAAAAUAUUUAUCAUGAGUGAAAUUGUCAUAGAGAAGAAAAAGCCAAAUGGUAAUUCUUAAUAAAAUGAAUGUAUGAAAACAGUUCAGUCAAUCUUUGCUGUAAGUUGGAGUGUGCUGUAAAGGGAAGGUGGCCUCUGGCAGGAGCUGUCUUUCAUCAGAACUUUAUGCACAUUUGGGAUUUUCAGCAUUUCAUCAGUGGGAAUCCUUAGGAGGCACUGAGCAAGAAGAUACAGGAAGAUCUAUUUUGAUUUCCCUAGGAAAAAUGCUGCUUUUGGAAGCCAAUUACCAAGGCCUCCAAUAUAUGUGGUGCUCUUCAUGACUCCAGACUGCCAGGAGACAGCCUAUAUUUGCAGCUCUGCAGCUAUGGGGAGGAACACUUUCCCAGCAUCUCUCUUGAAUGUAAAGGAGAUGAUCAUAAUUUAAGUUGCAUAAAUGGACAGCUGAAGUUAUUGCUAUUAUUUCAGCUAAUUUCUUCCAGUGACUUGGAAUAAAAACUUCUUCCUCUUAACUGGAAGAAACAUGAAUGGAAAUUAUGCUUAUUCCUUUGUGGUAACGGCUACAGAGGCCCUUCAAGAAGCAGCAGCAGUAGGAAUAAAAGAGAUUUUAUAAUAAAUACCCUGACUGCAAAACAAAUGUUUGCACCAUUCGGCUCUUAACACUAUGAACUCAGAUUUGCUAGAAAUGACUGGCAGUUUCUGUUAAAGACACUGCUUUUACCAGAUACUUUUUUGAGGACUGAUCUAUUACAAGUAAUUCUGUACCAAUGAAUUACCUGUGGUCUUUAUCAGUGAAAAAUACCAAGACUUAGAGUCUACAUAUACUGCACAUGCAUCUGUGUCAUCAACAAACUGUUCUGGAGGUAUGCAUCAAUGUAUAAAAUGUAAGAGUAGAUGUUAUUUGAAUAAAAGGGACCACUCUAU